AGUGACGGUACCUGCAGAAAAAGCACCGGCUAACUACGUGCCAGCAGCCGCGGUAAUACGUAGGGUGCAAGCGUUGUCCGGAAUUAUUGGGCGUAAAGAGCUCGUAGGCGGUUUGUCGCGUCUGCUGUGAAAUCCCGAGGCUCAACCUCGGGCUUGCAGUGGGUACGGGCAGACUAGAGUGCGGUAGGGGAGAUUGGAAUUCCUGGUGUAGCGGUGGAAUGCGCAGAUAUCAGGAGGAACACCGAUGGCGAAGGCAGAUCUCUGGGCCGUAACUGACGCUGAGGAGCGAAAGCAUGGGGAGCGAACAGGAUUAGAUACCCUGGUAGUCCAUGCCGUAAACGUUGGGCGCUAGAUGUAGGGACCUUUCCACGGUUUCUGUGUCGUAGCUAACGCAUUAAGCGCCCCGCCUGGGGAGUACGGCCGCAAGGCUAAAACUCAAAGGAAUUGACGGGGGCCCGCACAAGCGGCGGAGCAUGCGGAUUAAUUCGAUGCAACGCGAAGAACCUUACCAAGGCUUGACAUACACCGGAAACGGCCAGAGAUGGUCGCCCCCUUGUGGUCGGUGUACAGGUGGUGCAUGGUUGUCGUCAGCUCGUGUCGUGAGAUGUUGGGUUAAGUCCCGCAACGAGCGCAACCCUCGUUCUAUGUUGCCAGCGGGUUAUGCCGGGGACUCAUAGGAGACUGCCGGGGUCAACUCGGAGGAAGGUGGGGAUGACGUCAAAUCAUCAUGCCCCUUAUGUCUUGGGCUUCACGCAUGCUACAAUGGCCGGUACAAAGGGCUGCGAUACCGUAAGGUGGAGCGAAUCCCAAAAAGCCGGUCUCAGUUCGGAUUGAGGUCUGCAACUCGACCUCAUGAAGUCGGAGUCGCUAGUAAUCGCAGAUCAGCAACGCUGCGGUGAAUACGUUCCCGGGCCUUGUACACACCGCCCGUCAAGUCAUGAAAGUCGGUAACACCCGAAGCCGGUGGCCUAACCCUUGUGGAAGGAGCCGUCGAAGGUGGGAUCGGUGAUUAGGACUAAGUCGUAACAAGGUAGCCGUACCGGAAGGUGCGGCUGGAUCACCUCCUUU
rnacentral:rRNA from 1 species